UAUGAACCGAAAAAAAUGGAUAAUGAUGUCACGAUAAAAUCUGUGGUACAAUAAACCGUUCUGUGCCAAAACAAGAAGAAAAAUAACAUAUAAACGCAACGCUCAAUCCGGAACAGAACGUACCCGAUUACGACACAGACAGCGAUGAACGGAUGAACGGUGAGUCCCACGGAGCAAGCGGCUUAAUCUAGAUCCGCUCAAGUUGGAAGCGAUGAUGGACCGACUCCGACCAGAUUGUGGUCUCACUGGAAGCCAAGAUCUCUGUAUAGCAGUGUACGACUGUUGGCUCAACAAGCGGCUGAAAACUUCUAAUUCCAGCAAGAUCCACUAAUCAUGUCGGUGCACACGGACUGCUGGGAAAACCACACCGAAUAAUUCGUAUCUGGCAUUCCGAAGGCGAGUUGAGAAAAUGCAUACCAGGAAGAAUCGAAAGAACGACGAGCGACGAGAAGAUGUUGAAGCUGAGGCGGGACCUGAGCCGAACGGUUAUUCUUCAGCAGAUGAUCAAACGGCGAGAGAAUCGAGGUCUGCUGCAUCUCGGUAUCGAGGUCUGUGAACAAGACGUCAAGAUCUACGAUUGCGCCGAUCAAUAUUCAUAGUAUCACUCAACACUGAUCGAUUCGGCUGGAGCAGAAAGCAGUGGAGUGGGGCCGUGUCAUUAUUCGUCAUCAUCAUCGUCCCAUUACCAUCAUCACGUCGGAGGAACCAGUUCCAUCAAUCGGGAUUGGAACGAGAGGAGUUUGUUGUUACCACCACUACCAGUACCAUCCGGCUGAAACGACAUUGGUGAACUGGCUGGUAUCGCAGAGGCUUUCGGUGUUAGUGCACGAAGGGAUGCCACCGUCAAGACCAUUCUGGGCAGUGGUAAGCUAAUAACUAGCGGUAGGGUUAGAAUUGGCCAAAUCAGAAGUGAUCCGGGACACUUCUACAUCUUUCCGCUGCACUGUUCUUCACGUGAGUCCGGCAUGCAGAGUGGUUCAUCCAGCAGAUCUGCAAUGGAUUCGACAAACCGCAGCAGUUAGGCUUGUAAUCUGGAGAGCUAAUCGCCGAACAAGCAGCGCGGUUGCUGACCGAGCGUAAGAUCGGAAUUUUAUAAAAAUAUCUGAAAUUUUUUCACGAAUAUCAGGAUAUUCAGAUGUGUAAUAUCUGAAUUCCGGCUUAAUUCCAUCUUAAAAAUUCUUCCAGAAGACCAUUCUGAGAAUCCUUCAGGAUGUUGGAGAUUCCUUCGGGAAUUCAUGCAGGAAUUCGAUCUGGAGCAAUCUCCAGGAAUUCCAUCAGGGAGUUCUUGCAGAAACUCCAUUUGUAAAUUCCUACAGAAAUACGAUCUGGGGCUUCCUACGGGAAAUCCUUCUGGAGAUUCCUCCAAAAAUUCGACUCUGAGAUUCUUCCAGUAAUUUGUUCUAGUUAUUGCUCCAGGAAUUUCAUCUGGGGAUUCCUCCAGAUUUAAAAUUCGCUUAGAUUUCGCUUCUGAUUUCUUAAACUCUCUUGUUCUCUAAGGGCCGAUUUC